UCAAGUGACUAAGCGUGCACGGUGGAUGCCUUGGCAUCUGGAGGCGAUGAAAGACGUAGUAGCCUGCGAUAAGCUUCGGGGAGGUGGCAAACAACCUUUGAUCCGGAGAUCUCUGAAUGGGGAAACCCACCUGUCAUAAGGCAGGUAUCGUAUACUGAAUACAUAGGUAUACGAGGCGAACGCGGAGAACUGAAACAUCUAAGUACCCGCAGGAAAAGAAAUCAACCGAGAUUCCCUUAGUAGUGGCGAGCGAACGGGGACCAGCCCUUAAGCUGUUUUGUAGUUAGUAGAACGCUCUGGAAAGUGCGACCGUAGUGGGUGAUAGUCCCGUAUACGAAAACUUAUAAGCAGUGAAAACGAGUAGGUCGGGACACGUGUUAUCCUGACUGAAUAUGGGGGGACCAUCCUCCAAGGCUAAAUACUCCCAGAUGACCGAUAGUGAACUAGUACCGUGAGGGAAAGGCGAAAAGAACCCCUGUGAGGGGAGUGAAAUAGAUCCUGAAACCGUGUACGUACAAGCAGUGGGAGCCGACUUAGUUCGGUGACUGCGUACCUUUUGUAUAAUGGGUCAGCGACUUAAUGUUAGUGGCAAGGUUAAGCGAAUAGCGGAGCCGUAGGGAAACCGAGUGUUAACUGCGCGUCCAGUCGCUAGCAUUAGACCCGAAACCGGGCGAUCUAUCCAUGAGCAGGUUGAAGGUUGAGUAACAUCAACUGGAGGACCGAACCCACUACCGUUGAAAAGUUAGGGGAUGACUUGUGGAUAGGAGUGAAAGGCUAAUCAAGCCCGGAGAUAGCUGGUUCUCCUCGAAAACUAUUUAGGUAGUGCCUCGUGUCUAACCAUGGGGGGUAGAGCACUGUUAAGGCUAGGGGGUCAUCUCGACUUACCAACCCUUUGCAAACUCCGAAUACCCAUGAGUUCAAUCACGGGAGACACACGGCGGGUGCUAACGUCCGUCGUGAAAAGGGAAACAACCCAGACCGUCAGCUAAGGUCCCAAAAUCCAUGUUAAGUGGGAAACGAUGUGGGAAGGCUUAGACAGCUAGGAGGUUGGCUUAGAAGCAGCCACCCUUUAAAGAAAGCGUAAUAGCUCACUAGUCGAGUCGGCCUGCGCGGAAGAUAUAACGGGGCUCAAACUGUACACCGAAGCUACGGAUGCCAUUUAUGGCAUGGUAGAGGAGCGUUCUGUAAGCCGUCGAAGGUCAAGGUGUGAACCAGGCUGGAGGUAUCAGAAGUGCGAAUGCUGACAUGAGUAACGAUAAUGGGAGUGAAAAACUCCCACGCCGGAAACCCAAGGGUUCCUGUCCAACGUUAAUCGGGGCAGGGUUAGUCGGCCCCUAAGGCGAGGCUGAAAAGCGUAGUCGAUGGGAAGCAAGUUAAUAUUCUUGCACCUCUUUAUAAUGCGAUGGGGGGACGGAGAAGGCUAGGCCAGCACAGCGUUGGUUGUCUGUGUUUAAGGUGGUAGGCAGAGGACUUAGGCAAAUCCGGGUCCUUAAUGCCGAGAACUGAUGACGGUGACUCUACGGAGUCCGAAGUGGUCGAUGCCAUGCUUCCAGGAAAAGCCUCUAAGCUUCAGUUAUAAAGAGACCGUACCCCAAACCGACACAGGUGGGUAGGUAGAGAAUACCAAGGCGCUUGAGAGAACUCGGGUGAAGGAACUAGGCAAAAUGGCACCGUAACUUCGGGAGAAGGUGCGCCGGUUAGGGUGAAGGACUUGCUCCGUAAGCUCUGGCCGGUCGAAGAUACCAGGUGGCUGCGACUGUUUAUUAAAAACACAGCACUCUGCAAACACGAAAGUGGACGUAUAGGGUGUGACGCCUGCCCGGUGCCGGAAGGUUAAUUGAUGGGGUUAUCUUCGGAGAAGCUCUUGAUCGAAGCCCCGGUAAACGGCGGCCGUAACUAUAACGGUCCUAAGGUAGCGAAAUUCCUUGUCGGGUAAGUUCCGACCUGCACGAAUG
rnacentral:rRNA from 1 species